AAGUGUGCAAGUAAAAGCUAAUGAAUCUUGUUUUAAGAAGAUAUACAAUUAGAGUACAUGACCACAAAUUUAUGUCCUUUAUUGCAAAUGAGUUGAGCUAACUCGAGUUUUGUGCUGUUAGAGCAUUGCUUUUUUGUGCAAUGUUGUUUUGAGCUAAACCCAGUUUUUCUCACUUGGUUUGAACAUGCUUCAUGUUCCAAUGAGUUUGCAUAUGAGCAACUCUAACAAUUAGUUUGUCUACUGUUGAGGGCCGUGUCAUUUUGGUAUUUUAUAUUAACGCAGUAUCUAUGUGUGCUGCUAGGGAGGGUGGCAGUAGGGGUUGACUUCUGUGUACUUGUGCAGGCAUGUAUGUCUAUAUAUUCCUUUGUGAUGGUGUUAAUAGAAUUGUCUGUGUAGCAGAUGUAAGGAAAUUUUGGAAUUAGUCUGUUAUUGCUUAGUUUUUCCUCAUGUUGACAAGAUCACCUUUGGUCUGCAGUGAUAAGGCUUUCUUUGUUGACCUAUUUGUGCGGGCAUCAAAUGUACCAGCUAUAAAGAUGUAUGAAAAGGUCUACACUCCGAGGAUUGCGCCUUAUGCAAGGAAUUUGAUGUGGUUCGUGAGCAAUGGGCUAAGUUUUUUACCAACAAGUAUUUAUUAUUGGCUUUAGCGCGCUUGAUCGAGUUGGUUUAGUUUUUAUAGAAUAAAUUUUAUAUUAAAAUGUAUGUUUAUGUUGAAAUUGGAACAUAUAUUUAAAUGUAAUAUGUGCACUUUGGUUUUGGGAUAUAUAGUAUACAAAACUCCAGUUGUUGUUUUUA